CUUUGCCCCCACUGGCAGUGGGCAGAGGUCAAGGCAAAAAGGUUGGUGGAAAAGAGCCUUUGACAUGAGCCUUUCUUCCUGCACUAAGGCCUGAGAGCGGGGUGGACUAUUUUGAAAGCGAAGUACAAAGAAAUGGCCGUGUAAUUCAGAAGUUGACACUGAGUUCAAGGCAACCACUUUCCAAACUACCCUCCCUGGCUGCUUCUUGAAGUUGUGGGUCUGUUCUGGCCAGUGACUUUUGAUGAGAAAGUCUCUGAAUACGAUUUUCUCUCCUUAAGGUAUGUUUACAAAAGGGCAUCCACUGUUGUCUUCUAAUAUCGUUCAAGCAUAGUGAGAGGCUUCCCUGCCAGCCAUUGUGUGAUGGUGACAGUAAAAAACCAAGACCUCCAGGGGUGGGAGAGGAAAGCAGCUGGUUUUCUCAUAAUAUAUGUGCCCGGGUAACUCUGAGAGAUCAUACGUGCUAAACAUCUUCUCGUUUGUUUGUGUUUUUAAAAUAUGUACGAGGGAUUUGUCUACAAGUAUGUCUGUGUACCAUGUGCAUGCCUGGUGCCUUCAACAGCCAGAGAAGAGCUUAGAUCCCCUAGAACUGGAGUCACAGAUUGUUCGGAGCUGCGAUGUGGGUGGUGGGACUCGGCCCAGGUUCUCUGGAAGAGCAGCCAGUGCUCUCAGCCACGGAGGCAUCUACUCAUCGCCUGCAUCUGUAUUGAAGAGAAAAUGGUAAGAGCCAUGAAACUGCUUGGAUGUGACCGUGUAACUCACAGAGGCAAACCCCCUCAAGGGGCUGAUCAUGGGAUAUAUUCCUGAUGUCCUUUGUCGUCUUCAUGAUCUUGUGGAAAGAAUGAGCCUCCAACCUUAUUUUGCUUGACAAAUUAAACUCACUGGAAUAGGGCUAUUUGUCUUGGACUAGUUUUCAAGGGAGGUGAAGGCUAGUGCCAUGCACUGUCCUCUCUGUGUCAUGUGGUCAUGAUCACCAACACCCAGGCACCUGUGUUGUGUACUUUUGGAACCAGGAUGAGAAAUGAAGCUGAAUGUACUUACCCACUGGAAUUUCUACACACACUGUAGGGAUGGUCUGUCUCUUUCCUAAAUUCCCUCUCACGGCAAGGAUCAGCUAGUCUCCUCUGCACCUUCUUCACGGAGGCUGUGCAGAAUGAAGAGUUCUGCUCUUGGGAAUCCAUCCUUCAGGGAGCUUCUGGAAGGAGCACUGUUGGUUGCCACAUCCUCUGGAAGAUAUGACUGCUUUUUUCCCUUUUGAAGACGACUGAGAUUCAGCUAUGGGAAGUCUGUCCCUGCCGUCGGUAUUUCAGCGGCAUCACGGUGGAAUCGUGUGACUGAGAGAAGCCACCAUUUACACUGUCUACACCUACUAGGGUUGCCACGGUGGGAUGGAGACGCACCCGAUGAAGGUGACUCUGCUCAGAGGCCCGGGAUGAGGGCGUUAGAACUAGAGUCGAGCCUGUAAAUGACUGACUGGGCAGUUUACAAAUGGUUGGUACAUCUGACAACAGUCACUGAGUCCACACAAGGAAAAGCUCUGAAGCCGCGGCUGGCCUCUGUGGUGGCUCCCUGCGGGCUAGCCACGUACACUGCCUGCAAAGGGGCUUUGACCUUUCCUGCGUCAUUCAAGCUGUUCACUCUAAAGCGAAAGACCUGAAAUUGAAGGGCUGAAGCGCCUCCAUGCUGAACUUUGACACCCAGAGUGCAGCAUGCUGGGAAGAAAGACAAAGGACAUCGUUAUCGUUAUCAGCAGUGAGGAAGCUGGUGCCUCUUGGCCUCCUCACCAUGGCUGAUAAAGCCUCCCUCCGUCAGGGAAUUGAAAGCCCAGUCAAUACCUCUGAUUUGCAUGUGGAAUAUUGGCAAAAGCCUGAAGCUUCAGCUUGGAUCUGAUUCUUCAUGAACGUUUAGAGGAAUAAAGAUUUUAUGUCUAAUAAAUUGCUAAAAAAUAUUUAGUUCUGGUCCUACACAUUGCUGCAAUUGGCAAGGGAUGAUGUGUAACGAGGGUACCAGGGACAGGUUUUGAAGGACUGUGCCGCAGAGAGCGUGGUGUGUGUUUGAUGAGAGACUCUGAAAGCCAGGGGGGUUGGAAUCAGGGACUACUGGGAUGUGGGGCCAGGAAAUGUUUUGAAGUGAGGGUGCGGCUCCAGAUGUUAUGGAUGUUUAUCAGCCUCCCGGCCUCUACACAUGAAAGAAGCAGAAAAUCUCUGGAGACUUCCUGAUACCAUCUUACAGAAACAGAGAGGAGUGCCUGGGAAUAUGGAGUCUCAUUGCAAGAAACUGAAGAAAAGAGAAACGAGAUGCUCGUAAGAUCAACCAUGCCAACCUUCUUCUGAAUUUAGGGAAAUUUGAUGAAGAAAUGUCCACCUCUCGUGCUUUACCACGU
rnacentral:lncRNA from 1 species